GGCCUAUAGCUCAGUCGGUUAGAGCAGCGGACUCAUAAUCCGUUGGUCCACAGUUCGAGUCUGUGUGGGCCCACCA
rnacentral:tRNA from 1 species